UACGUAGGGGGCAAGCGUUGUCCGGAUUUAUUGGGCGUAAAGAGCGUGUAGGCGGCCAUACAGGUCCGUUGUGAAAACUCGAGGCUCAACCUCGAGACGUCGAUGGAAACCGUAUGGCUAGAGUCCGGAAGAGGAGAGUGGAAUUCCUGGUGUAGCGGUGAAAUGCGCAGAUAUCAGGAGGAACACCGAUGGCGAAGGCAGGUCUCUGGGCAUUAACUGACGCUGAGGAGCGAAAGCAUGGGGAGCGAACAGG
rnacentral:rRNA from 1 species